AUUGAACGCUAGCGGGAGGCUUUACACAUGCAAGUCGAACGAGUGGCGGACGGGUGAGUAAUGUAUGGGGACUGCCCGAUAGAGGGGGAUAACUACUGGAAACGGUAGCUAAUACCGCAUACUAUCGGAUAACCCAUAUGGGAUUAGCUAGUAGGUGAGGUAAUGGCUAACCUAGGCGACGAUCCCUAGCUGGUCUGAGAGGAUGAUCAGCCACACUGGGACGUAGACACGGCCCAGACGCCUACGGAGGCAGCAGUGGGGAAUAUUGCACAAUGGGCGCAAGCCUGAUGCAGCAAUGCCGCGUGUAUGAAGAAGGCCCUAGGGUUGUAAAGUACUUUCAGUCGGGAGGCGUUACCGACAGAAGAAGCACCGGCUAACUCCGUGCCAGCAGCCGCGGUAAUUC
rnacentral:rRNA from 1 species